AUACGUAGGGGGCGGGCGUUGUCCGGAAUGAUUGGGCGUAAAGGGCGCGUAGGCGGCGCGGUAAGUCUGGAGUGAAAGUCCUGCUUUCAAGGUGGGAAUUGCUUUGGAUACUGCCGCGCUUGAGUGCAGGAGAGGUUAUCGGAAUUCCCGGUGUAGCGGUGAAAUGCGUAGAGAUCGGGAGGAACACCAGUGGUGAAGGCGGGUAACUGGACUGCAACUGACGCUGAGGCGCGAAAGUGUGGGGAGCAAACAGGAUUAGAUACCCUGGUAGUCCACACUGUAAACGAUGAAUGCUAGGUGUAGGGGGUAUCGACCCCUUCUGUGCCGCAGUCAACACAAUAAGCAUUCCGCCUGGGGAGUACGGCCGCAAGGUUGAAACUCAAAGGAAUUGACGGGG
rnacentral:rRNA from 1 species